GGCGUGGUGCGCCGGCGCGAGACGCAUGCGCACAAGGACCGCCGUGGGAGCGGGAGGGCGGCCUGAGGGCCUGUCCGGGGUGAAGGCGCCCUCCACACCCCUUUGCCAGACAUGUCUGUCAUUAGAAAAACUUAAGUGGAAAAAGCAACUGGAGACUUCUCCUUUAUAAAGCCUCGUGGUGGAACAUCUGCUUGACCAUAUCAGUGGGAGGAUGAAGGUGCCACACAGGGACUCGAAAUGAGUGGAAAAGGCCCGUCAGCAUGAAGGUGCUACAGCACUCUGAACACACACUGAAAACCGCUCUCAUCUCUCAGAACCCAGUGCUUGUGUCACAGUAUGAGAAGUUAGAUGCUAGGGAACGACGUUUGAUGAAUGAAGCCUUCCAGCCAUCCAGUAAUCUCUUUGGACCAAUUACUGUGCAUUCACAGUCAGAUUGGAUCACCUCCCACCCUGAAGUUCCCCAGGAUUUCGAACAGUUUUUCACUGAUCGCCACAGAAACAUACCCUGUCCGGAGAAACACAUUAUCUAUAUGCAGUCCAUUGGCUCUCUCGGCAACACCAGAGUUAUCAGUGAAGAAUAUAUUAAAUGGCUCAAGGGCUACUGUGAAGCAUUUUUCUAUGGUUUGACUGUAAAAUUCUUAGAACCAGUUCCAGUCUCUGCAACGAAGUGUUCCUUUAGAGUGAACGAGCACACACACAACCUACAAAUCCAUGCAGGGCACAUCUUGGCAUUCUUGAAAAAGAAGAAACCCAAAGAUGCCUUCUGCAUCGUGGGGAUAACAAUGAUCGAUCUUUACCCACGUGACUCCUGGAAUUUUGUCUUUGGACAGGCCUCUUUGACAGAUGGUGUAGGGAUAUUCAGCUUUGCGAGGUACGGCACGGAUUUCUACAGCUCCCGGUAUGAAGGCAAAGUGAGCAAGCCCCAGCGAACAUCUUCCAGUGACUAUUCUGUUUUUGAUAACUAUUACAGUCCUGAGAUCACUAGUAUUUUGCUGUGGCGAUCCUGUAAGACUUUAACCCAUGAGAUCGGACACAUUUUUGGACUGCGACACUGCCAGUGGCUUGCCUGCUUAAUGCAAGGCUCCAAUCACUUGGAAGAAUCUGAUCGGCGGCCUCUCAACCUUUGCCCUAUCUGCUUACGCAAGCUGCAGGUUGCUAUUGGCUUCAGUGUUGUAGAGAGAUACAGAGCACUGCUGAGGUGGAUUGACGAGGAAUCUAACGACUCGUCACGAGCAACCCCGAGAAAGAGUUCUGACCAUGUGAAUUUGCAAAAACCCGUGGAAGCCUUUCAGGAUUGGAGAGAAUGGAUAAUAAAAUGCAUUGCUGUUCUGGAAAAAUAAGGACUUUGAGAUAGGUGUAACUGAAACAAAUACCGGCACACUAGGUGUUUGUGGCUAGAGUACUUCAUUGGAAUAAACCUUCUACUGGUUCUAUGCUGAGGCCAGGUAACAGACUAGAAGCUUCUGAAGCCCCUGGACCAGAAUAAGGUUGAUGAGAACAAGGAAAACCCUCUCUGCCCUUCUCUCCUGUCUCACUAGCCUGCUCUGUGGCAGUGAGCCCAUCGCUUCCUUGCUUCAAAUUGGAUUAGCUGAAGCUAGAAGAUGAUGAGGUGGGGGCCGGGGUGAAGGACGACUGUAGGUAUCAUUCCUCAGGCUGUCCAGUGAACCCAGGGAUCUACCUGCCUGUUCCUCACCUCCCCUGCCCUCCAUGGGUGCUGGGUAUCCCACUUGGGCCUCUGCCUCCAUGGCAAUCACCUUACCGACUGAGCUGCUUCCAGCUCUGUUUUUCCACUUGGAAUCUAAAUUCUUCCAUUGUUGUAACUUACACAGUGUCAUUAAAAGCACGCUUGACAACCAAACCAGUGGUUUUCCUCAGAUUCGCUUUCAGGUUAAACUCCUUUAAGUCAGUUCUGAAAAUAGCAGCCGUCACUGGCAUCAGCUGGAGACUGUUCAUGGUUGUUCCAACACUGAAAAGAAGCCAGAUGGGUUUCACAGGUCUUGCAUAUGAAGUUUAAUUCUUCCUUGAAUAAUUAAUUAUCCUCCAUUCUUCUACAUUUUCUUUAAUUUUUCUACCAGGUAAAUGCAGUUCUCCAGUGGGUCAACAUUAGUCAUAAACCUAGAAUGGAGAUUUGCCUAGGUUAAAAGAUUGGGAAUUACAAUGAUCUGGACGAGAUAAAAAGGUCCAUCUUAGCCUACUCUGCCAAGGAGCCAGGAAGAAGAACUUUUGGAAGAAAUUACUGUUGAUGAAAAUGGGACUGAACUAAAAGUCACACAACAAACAUUUAUUAAGCAAUCUUCAUUUGAGUGCUGUUAUAACACAUUAGAUUGUAUACACUUUUGGAGAAUUUUAGGAUUAACUUUAUGAUUUGGGGACUGGUGAGCGGGCUCAGCAGGUGAGGGCACCUGCCAUCAAGCCUGAGGACUUGGGUCUGAUUUCUGGGACCCACAUGAUCGAAGGAGAGGGUUAGCUGUCCCAAGUUGUCCUCUGACUCAGUGCGUGCUGUAGCAUAUGUGCACCCAAUAAAAAUGGAGAGAUACACACAGA